UGGGGAAUAUUGGGCAAUGGGCGAAAGCCUGACCCAGCAACGCCGCGUGAGGGAAGAAGGCCUUCGGGUUGUAAACCUCUGUCCUUAGUGACGAAGGAAGUGACGGUAGCUAAGGAGGAAGCCCCGGCUAACUACGUGCCAGCAGCCGCGGUAAUACGUAGGUGGCGAGCGUUAUCCGGAUUUACUGGGUGUAAAGGGCGCGUAGGCGGGAAUGCAAGUCAGAUGUGAAAUCCAAGGGCUCAACCCUUGAACUGCAUUUGAAACUGUAUUUCUUGAGUGUCGGAGAGGUUGACGGAAUUCCUAGUGUAGCGGUGAAAUGCGUAGAUAUUAGGAGGAACACCAGUGGCGAAGGCGGUCAACUGGACGAUAACUGACGCUGAGGCGCGAAAGCGUGGGGAGCAAACAGGAUUAGAUACCCUGGUAGU
rnacentral:rRNA from 1 species